UUCAGAACGGCUUUGAGACACACGGGCGAGUUCUCUCAAUGCAUCACACACUACAGCGUCUCAAUCAGGAAAUAAUGAGAAAGAAACGCGAUCAACUCAAAGCCGCCUUCAACCUCCGCAGCAGUGACGGGCGGCGUGGAAGUCCUCAAUCACCAAGCUGUCACCGCGCAGCUUUGAAAGGCCCUGGAUCUGCGCCGGGAAUGGCUUCGGAGCGUACCCAUAAAUCGACAGCCGGUCCUUCAACGGGAGUCCCCGAGCUCCCAGCCAUCAUUCGUCAAAGCGUCUGUGCUCCGGAUGGAAGCAAAUAAAGCAUUGCGUUUUUGAAGUUAAAGCUCUUGGUGUCCUUUUCGCAGACUACAGGGGAGGACUCAAAGUCAUACCACUUCAUUCUGUGAACAAAUGUAUUCUUUGCGGCUGGUCCUGGACGUACAAUAAAUAGCCGCCGUGGCAAUCUCGCGUUCCCUUCAGGGGAUAUGAAGAAUAUUGCGCGCGCGAGUCCCCCAGGGCCAAACAGGAAAUGUGUACACCAACUGCGCUGACAGCAAGCGCCUAUGUGUAUACUCUGUGCACGUGCGUGUGCGUGUGUUGUCUGACAUUUAAAUAGAAUUAUAAAAUUAAUAGAAUUUGAAUGUAAAUCACGUGUAGAAUAACAGAGUAUGAACACAGAAGCCCCGCAGGCCUGCCUGUGCACAAAGGUCGUAUGGUGCAGGUUUGUGGCCAUGUUAUGCGAGGAUUUCUUAAUUUCUUAAUUCUGAUUAAUAUUUAAGGAAUAAGCACAUUCAUUCAUUAUUAUCUUUAGUGUGGUAAAAUUGAUAAUUUAUUCAAAUCAAGAAUUUAAAAUACUGAAGUAGAUUUUCUAAGCUUUAAAUGAAGUAUGUCUCUUGAAAAGUUUAGAACUGUACUGCUCUCUGCUGGCCGAAAUGUGAACAGUACUGAUCAGCUGAAUUUAUGUUCUAGUAGCUUUUACAAUCCAAAUAAACUGUGUUCAAAAAUGACUGAUGUUGUUGUGAUUGUGCAUCUGAUUAGGGGUAAUUUUACAAUAUAUCCACACUACAGUAUUCUUUGCAAAUAUGUUGUUUAUCAAUGAGAGAUGUCUGGAUGCAACCAUGGUCGUAGGGACACAGUGUGUGUGCUGGUUUUGUUCCAGUUGACCUCUUAGUUAAUUAGAUUUAAGUGCACUGGUGACUGA